rnacentral:rRNA from 1 species
CACGUAGGCACCAAGCGUUGUCCGGAUUUAUUGGGCGUAAAGAGCUCGUAGGUGGCUGAGUAAGUCGGAUGUUAAAUCCCCAGGCUCAACCUGGGACACCACCCGAUACUGCUCUGGCUAGAGUCCGGUAGGGGAGCGUGGAAUUCCUGGUGUAGCGGUGAAAUGCGCAGAUAUCAGGAGGAACACCAGCGGCGAAGGCGGCUCUCUGGGACGGUACUGACGCUGAGACGCGAAAGCGUGGGGAGCGAACAGG